AACGCUAGCUACAGGCUUAACACAUGCAAGUCGAGGGGCAGCAUGAAGUUUGCUUGCAAACUUUGAUGGCGACCGGCGCACGGGUGAGUAACACGUAUCCAACCUGCCGAUUACUCGGGGAUAACCUCUCGAAAGAGAGCCUAAUACCCGAUGGCAUACCUGUUCCGCAUGGGACCGGUAUUAAAGGAUUUCGGUAAUCGAUGGGGAUGCGUUCCAUUAGGUUGUUGGCGGGGUAACGGCCCACCAAGCCAUCGAUGGAUAGGGGUUCUGAGAGGAAGGUCCCCCACAUUGGAACUGAGACACGGUCCAAACUCCUACGGGAGGCAGCAGUGAGGAAUAUUGGUCAAUGGACGAGAGUCUGAACCAGCCAAGUAGCGUGAAGGAUGACUGCCCUAUGGGUUGUAAACUUCUUUUAUACGGGAAUAAAGUUAGGCACGUGUGCCUUUUUGUAUGUACCGUAUGAAUAAGGAUCGGCUAACUCCGUGCCAGCAGCCGCGGUAAUACGGAGGAUCCGAGCGUUAUCCGGAUUUAUUGGGUUUAAAGGGAGCGUAGGCGGAUGCUUAAGUCAGUUGUGAAAGUUUGCGGCUCAACCGUAAAAUUGCAGUUGAUACUGGGUGUCUUGAGUACAGUAGAGGCAGGCGGAAUUCGUGGUGUAGCGGUGAAAUGCUUAGAUAUCACGAAGAACUCCGAUUG
rnacentral:rRNA from 1 species